rnacentral:rRNA from 1 species
UUGAACGCUGGCGGCAGGCCUAACACCUGCAAGUCGAACGGUAACAGGAAGAAGCUUGCUUCUUUGCUGACGAGUGGCGGACGGGUGAGUAAUGUCUGGGAAACUGCCUGAUGGAGGGGGAUAACUACUGGAAACGGUAGCUAAUACCGCAUAACGUCGCAAGACCAAAGAGGGGGACCUUCGGGCCUCUUGCCAUCGGAUGUGCCCAGAUGGGAUUAGCUAGUAGGUGGGGUAACGGCUCACCUAGGCGACGAUCCCUAGCUGGUCUGAGAGGAUGACCAGCCACACUGGAACUGAGACACGGUCCAGACUCCUACGGGAGGCAGCAGUGGGGAAUAUUGCACAAUGGGCGCAAGCCUGAUGCAGCCAUGCCGCGUGUAUGAAGAAGGCCUUCGGGUUGUAAAGUACUUUCAGCGGGGAGGAAGGGAGUAAAGUUAAUACCUUUGCUCAUUGACGUUACCCGCAGAAGAAGCACCGGCUAACCCCGUG